GCCCUGGACCAGGCGGCCGUGGCGCGGGUGGCGGCUGCUGUGGUGGCUGUGGGGACGGAGGCGGUGAAGUGCCAUCUUCGGCUAGGUCGUCACAGGCUUCGGCUCAUGGCAUCAAGUGGCAUCCAUCAUAAGAUCGUUAACUGAAGACAAUAUGCAAAAUUCUCACAUGGAUGAAUACAGAAAUUCUAGUAAUGGCAGCACAGGCAACAGUUCAGAGGUAGUGGUAGAACAUCCUACUGAUUUCAGUACUGAGAUUAUGAACGUUACAGAAAUGGAACAGUCACCUGAUGACUCUCCCAAUGUGAAUGCAUCUACAGAAGAAACUGAAAUGGCAAGUGCUGUGGACCUUCCAGUGACGCUGACAGAAACAGAAGCAAAUUUCCCUCCGGAAUAUGAAAAAUUUUGGAAAACUGUAGAAAAUAAUCCUCAGGAUUUUACAGGCUGGGUAUAUUUGCUUCAAUAUGUAGAACAGGAGAAUCACUUGAUGGCUGCCAGGAAGGCAUUUGACAGAUUUUUCAUACACUAUCCUUAUUGCUAUGGUUACUGGAAAAAGUAUGCAGACCUUGAAAAGCGGCACGACAACAUUAAACCAUCAGAUGAGGUGCGUACAUCACUGAAUAAACUUAUCUCCAAUAGGUACUGUAAGCCAAUUAAUAACAAAACAAAGAUUUUUUUUUUUUUUUUUUGGCUGGCAGUACCUACCAUUUAUGGUCAAACAAUUUUUAUAGGGUAUUUAUUUGCAUUUGUCACUCUUGUGGCAUUUGUAGCUAAUAUUUUCUCUCUUUGUUGGCAGGUGCGUUAAACCUCUACAGUUUGUCAAGCUUUGCAGUGCAAGCCUCUGUAUUACACUGCAGCUUAACAAGUAGGGCAGGGCUUUUCUCUCACUUACAUUUAUUUCUCAUUUUCCAAACAAUAUAGUUGGUUUGCUAGUCACAUUUGCUACGUCUUAUUGCAUUUUUGGUCAGACGCUGUCAUUGAUGCUCUAAUGGGUCUGUGCCCUAUGGUCUGUAACCCAAAGCCUGCCCACACAACCCGGUCAGAAUGCAGGGACUGCUGCGCUUUGAAGAUCAAGACUCUGCACGUGGGGAUCAGAACAUUGCCAUGUUCUAUCCAACCUCCACCCAAAUGGUAAUGGUAGAUUAUUUAAACAAAAUUCCAGUAAUUAGUAUUUCUAAGGUUCACCGGAUAACACAGUGUUGCCUCUCUGUUAAGAAAUAAUUAAAUAUUUGAAGUACAGUUUGCUGUUUUCUUCUUAGGUUUAUCGGCGGGGGCUUCAGGCAAUACCUCUUAGUGUUGACCUUUGGAUACAUUAUAUAAACUUCUUAAAAGAAACAUUGGACCCUGGUGAUCCUGAGACAAACAAUACAAUAAGAGGAACUUUUGAGCAUGCUGUUCUAGCUGCAGGAACAGAUUUCCGUUCUGACAGACUGUGGGAAAUGUAUAUAAACUGGGAAAAUGAGCAGGGAAACCUGAGAGAAGUUACAGCUAUAUAUGAUCGUAUUCUUGGUAUUCCAACACAGCUGUAUAGUCAUCAUUUUCAGAGAUUUAAAGAACAUGUACAGAAUAAUUUGCCUAGAGAUCUUUUAACUGGUGAACAGUUUAUUCAGUUGCGAAGGGAAUUAGCUUCUGUAAAUGGUCAUAGUGGUGAUGAUGGUCCUCCUGGUGAUGAUCUACCAUCGGGAAUUGAAGACAUAACCGAUCCUGCAAAGCUAAUUACAGAAAUAGAAAACAUGAGACAUAGAAUCAUUGAGAUUCAUCAAGAAAUGUUUAAUUAUAAUGAGCAUGAAGUUAGUAAAAGGUGGACAUUUGAAGAAGGUAUUAAAAGACCUUACUUUCAUGUGAAACCUUUGGAAAAGGCACAACUAAAAAACUGGAAAGAAUACUUAGAAUUUGAAAUUGAAAAUGGGACUCAUGAACGAGUUGUGGUUCUCUUUGAAAGAUGUGUCAUAUCAUGUGCCCUCUAUGAGGAGUUUUGGAUUAAGUAUGCCAAGUACAUGGAAAACCAUAGCAUUGAAGGAGUGAGGCAUGUCUUCAGCAGAGCUUGUACUAUACAUCUCCCAAAGAAACCCAUGGUGCAUAUGCUUUGGGCAGCUUUUGAGGAACAGCAGGGUAAUAUUAAUGAAGCCAGGAAUAUCUUGAGAACAUUUGAAGAAUGUGUUCUAGGAUUGGCAAUGGUUCGUUUACGAAGAGUAAGUUUAGAACGACGGCAUGGAAAUCUGGAAGAAGCUGAACAUUUGCUUCAGGAUGCCAUUAAGAAUGCCAAAUCAAAUAAUGAAUCUUCAUUUUAUGCUGUCAAACUAGCCCGGCAUCUUUUCAAAAUACAGAAAAACCUUCCAAAAUCAAGAAAGGUGCUUUUGGAAGCAAUCGAAAGAGACAAAGAGAACACAAAGUUAUACCUCAAUUUACUUGAAAUGGAAUAUAGUGGUGACCUCAAACAAAAUGAAGAAAAUAUCCUAAAUUGUUUUGACAAAGCUGUACAUGGUUCAUUACCUAUUAAAAUGAGAAUUACAUUUUCUCAGAGAAAAGUGGAAUUUCUUGAAGAUUUUGGUUCCGAUGUUAAUAAGCUUCUGAAUGCUUAUGAUGAACAUCAAACACUCCUGAAAGAACAGGAUUCUUUAAAAAGGAAAGCAGAAAAUGGAUCAGAAGAACCAGAGGAAAAGAAAGCACAUACAGAAGAUACAACUUCAUCAUCUACACAGAUGAUUGAUGGUGAUUUACAGGCAAACCAAGCUGUAUAUAAUUAUAGUGCAUGGUAUCAAUACAAUUAUCAGAAUCCUUGGAAUUAUGGACAAUAUUAUCCUCCCCCUCCAACCUGAUGGGAAAAAUGUAAAUUUCAAAUGCAGUGUGUGAAAAGUAUGAAAUUAUUAUUUUUUUUAAUGAGGGAUGUAAACAGUAUAAGCUUGUUGUAUUUGAUAACCUGUCUUCCUUGUUUCUGUGUAACAUGAUUUGUUUAGUAAUAGGGGGAAAAUGUCAAUUAGUAGCUUACCACAGAUACUGUUUCCUACCAUUUAUAAAAUUUACUUUUUAUUGAAAAACUAUUUUUUGAUUUUUGCAUUAAGUGGUCUAGAAUUCUUUUGCAAUGCAUUUGCAACAGAAUUUUGUAGCCUUAAGGGGUAGGAAGAAAAACCUGACUGCAAAUCAUGUCAGUGUAGUACAAAAUUCUGAAAACACGUAAGGGCUGGUUAUUUACCUCUUUUUUUUUUUUUAAAAAGGACUUUUAACCUUUGCUGACAAGGUUUUGUCUGUUUCAGUUAUACUUGUGAAUUGUGAUCUAACUGCAGAAAGGAUACACUAUUAAAAUACUUUGCCUUGGAAUAGAUUAUAAAUGAGAAAAUGGAAUGUUUGCAUCCCUUUAAAAAUGAAAAUCAUAUCAAAAGUAUGUUGUUUCAGGAGACUUUGUAUUUAGAAUAUUCAUGUAAAACUUGUGAACAAGCUUUCAUUUUGAUCAAACUGAUCUUCAUUUUUGUAAUAAAACGGAAGACUCAUCCAGUAA
rnacentral:sRNA from 1 species